AGAAGACCUGCAGAUCCAGAAGAAGAGCUCCGAUGGAUGUCUUAAGAAGUGCGUGGUUAUGUUGAAGCUGUUCUGAACAGCCUUGCUACCAAUGUCCCAAAAGCAGUUGUCCUUUGCCAAGUAGAAAAAUCCAAGGAAGAUAUGCUUAAUCAGUUAUACAGUUCUGUCAGUGCCCAAAGCACUGCAAGGAUUGAAGAACUACUUCAGGAGGUUCAGAAUGUGAAACGAAGGAGGGAGCGUAACCAGAAACAGUCCUCUCUUCUUGUAAAGCUCACAAAGCAGCUUAGCAUCCAUGACAACCGUGCAGCUGCUGCUUCUAGCUGCUGGUCCAAUGGUGGUGCAGG